rnacentral:misc_RNA from 3 species
CAGAGUUAUUCCAAACUCCAAACCCAUGUGAACUUACCACUUGUUGCCUCGGCGGAGCUACCCGGAAGCUACCCUGUAGCUACCCUGGAGCGCCGCCGGUGGACAUAUAAACUCUUGUUAUUACGAGUCAUCUGAGCGUCUUAUGUAAAUAAGUCA